CUUGCUGGUGGAUUAGUGGCGAACGGGUGAGUAACACGUGAGUAACCUGCCCUUAACUCUGGGAUAAGCCUGGGAAACUGGGUCUAAUACCGGAUAUGACUCCUCAUCGCAUGGUGGGGGGUGGAAAGCUUUAUUGUGGUUUUGGAUGGACUCGCGGCCUAUCAGCUUGUUGGUGAGGUAAUGGCUCACCAAGGCGACGACGGGUAGCCGGCCUGAGAGGGUGACCGGCCACACUGGGACUGAGACACGGCCCAGACUCCUACGGGAGGCAGCAGUGGGGAAUAUUGCACAAUGGGCGAAAGCCUGAUGCAGCGACGCCGCGUGAGGGAUGACGGCCUUCGGGUUGUAAACCUCUUUCAGUAGGGAAGAAGCGAAAGUGACGGUACCUGCAGAAGAAGCGCCGGCUAACUACGUGCCAGCAGCCGCGGUAAUACGUAGGGCGCAAGCGUUAUCCGGAAUUAUUGGGCGUAAAGAGCUCGUAGGCGGUUUGUCGCGUCUGCCGUGAAAGUCCGGGGCUCAACUCCGGAUCUGCGGUGGGUACGGGCAGACUAGAGUGAUGUAGGGGAGACUGGAAUUCCUGGUGUAGCGGUGAAAUGCGCAGAUAUCAGGAGGAACACCGAUGGCGAAGGCAGGUCUCUGGGCAUUAACUGACGCUGAGGAGCGAAAGCAUGGGGAGCGAACAGGAUUAGAUACCCUGGUAGUCCAUGCCGUAAACGUUGGGCACU
rnacentral:rRNA from 1 species